GACGAACGCUGGCGGCGUGCUUAACACAAGCAAGUCGAACGAUGAACCGGCUUCGGCCGGGGAUUAGUGGCGAACGGGUGAGUAACACGUGGGCAAUCUGCCCUGCACUCUGGGACAAGCCCUGGAAACGGGGUCUAAUACCGGAUAUGACGCGCUUCCGCAUGGGAUGCGCGUGGAAAGCUCCGGCGGUGCAGGAUGAGCCCGCGGCCUAUCAGCUUGUUGGUGAGGGAAUGGCUCACCAAGGCGACGACGGGUAGCCGGCCUGAGAGGGCGACCGGCCAAACUGGGACUGGGACACGGCCCAGACUCCUACGGGAGGCAGCAGUGGGGAAUAUUGCACAAUGGGCGAAAGCCUGAUGCAGCGACGCCGCGUGAGGGAUGACGGCCUUCGGGUUGUAAACCUCUUUCAGCAGGGAAGAAGCGAGAGUGACGGUACCUGCAGAAGAAGCGCCGGCUAACUACGUGCCAGCAGCCGCCGUAACAC
rnacentral:rRNA from 1 species